AUUGAACGCUGGCGGCAUGCCUUACACAUGCAAGUCGAACGGUAACAGGUUAAGCUGACGAGUGGCGAACGGGUGAGUAAUAUAUCGGAACGUGCCCAGUCGUGGGGGAUAACGUAGCGAAAGCUACGCUAAUACCGCAUACGAUCUACGGAUGAAAGAGGGGGAUCGCAAGACCUCGCGCGAUUGGAGCGGCCGAUAUCAGAUUAGGUUGUUGGUGAGGUAAAAGCUCACCAAGCCUGCGAUCUGUAGCUGGUCUGAGAGGACGACCAGCCACACUGGAACUGAGACACGGUCCAGACUCCUACGGGAGGCAGCAGUGGGGAAUUUUGGACAAUGGACGCAAGUCUGAUCCAGCAAUGCCGCGUGCAGGACGAAGGCCUUCGGGUUGUAAACUGCUUUUGUACGGAACGAAACGGUGAACUCUAAUACAGUUUGCUAAUGACGGUACCGUAAGAAUAAGCACCGGCUAACUACGUGCCAGCAGCCGCGGUAA
rnacentral:rRNA from 1 species